rnacentral:rRNA from 1 species
UACGUAGGGGGCAAGCGUUGUCCGGAAUCAUUGGGCGUAAAGCGCGUGUAGGCGGUCCGGUAAGUCGGUUGUGAAAGUCCAGGGCUCAACCCUGGGAUGCCGAUCGAUACUGCCGGACUAGAGUCCGGAAGAGGCGAGUGGAAUUCCCGGUGUAGCGGUGAAAUGCGCAGAUAUCGGGAGGAACACCAAUGGCGAAGGCAGCUCGCUGGGACGGUACUGACGCUGAGGAGCGAAAGCGUGGGGAGCGAACAGG